CGCACAUUGCGCCCAUUGGUAUUCCGAUGGGCAUGCACGUUCGAGCGUCAUCAAACACCGUCAGGCCCUGCGCCUGGUGUUGGGCCCCGCCGGUAGAACGGCCGGCCCUAAAGGCAGUGGCGGCGCCGUCGGGCUCUUAGCGUAGUAAAUCAUCGUCGCUAUUGGGUCCCGGCGGAUGCUUGCCAGCAACCCCAAUCCCCUAUGUUUGACCUCGGAUCGUGUAGGAAUACCCGCUGAACUUAA
rnacentral:misc_RNA from 1 species